AUUGAACGCUGGCGGCAGGCCUAACACAUGCAAGUCGAGCGGAUGAAGGGAGCUUGCUCCUGGAUUCAGCGGCGGACGGGUGAGUAAUGCCUAGGAAUCUGCCUGGUAGUGGGGGAUAACGUCCGGAAACGGGCGCUAAUACCGCAUACGUCCUGAGGGAGAAAGUGGGGGAUCUUCGGACCUCACGCUAUCAGAUGAGCCUAGGUCGGAUUAGCUAGUUGGUGGGGUAAAGGCCUACCAAGGCGACGAUCCGUAACUGGUCUGAGAGGAUGAUCAGUCACCCUGGAACCUAGACCCCGGUCCAGCCUCUUACGGAGGCACCCAUUGGGGAUAUUUGACCAUGGGGCGAAGCCCUGUCCCGCCAAGCCGGCUGUGUUGAGGAAGGCUUUCGGUUGUUAAGCACUUUAAGUUGGGAGGAAGGGCAGUAAGUUAAUACCUUGCUGUUUUGACGUUACCAACAGAAUAAGCACCGGCUAACUUCGUG
rnacentral:rRNA from 1 species